AAGAUCUAGAGCUGAUUUGCAACCCGCCGAAGCAGAUCUGGAGAAGAAGGAAAAUGUCUCCUGUCUCCACACGCACCGUUCUAGGAUCAGCUGGCCGUUAGGAAAACGCAAACAGCAAAGUGGUGAGUCGGAAAACCCUCACUAGUUGCACUGCAGUGAAGGUUAGCGCGAAAAUGUUGUGCAACCAGUUCUGAGUGUGUUGUAUCAUAAUUUCGUUUGGGCCUUAUGAAAGGCGCUACCUUCCCCCUUUGAGGCCUAGCCAGCCCUGUUUAGGUUUAGACGAAAAUAGCGAAUAUUAACGGUUUACUUUUCACUAAACAGAAUUGCGACUGUGGUUCAGGUAACUUGCAACGGUAGCAGUUACUGUGUACUUCUAACAAACUUUAUUGGGCCCAAUCUAUCAUCUGAGUAGCUAGCUACAUGCUUUUAAUGAAUGCACUGUGUUGGAUUUACAUAGGAAGCAGGUGUCCUUGCCAAAUAGAAGAUACCUAGCUUGCUAGCGACGUCCGGCCCGGAGCGCCUCCGGUGUGCGCGUGGGUGACCAACAGAGGGCGAGUUAGAAUGUGACGUCAAAACUCCUAAUGUUGUUUUUUGCAUGACGACAAAGCGUUCUUAUUACGAGCCCACAAUAUGUCAUACAAAUGUUAUAGACAUUCAUUAUUUACCAGAAUAGAAUCUUAAAUAUAAGUAAUAUACAUUGCUGAAUUGGAGAGGGUGGGAAAGAGGAUAAAUAUCUGCGACUGGUGGGAAUUAUUUAUUUAAUUGGUAGUCGAGUACCUCAACUCCAUGAUGAUUCACGAGUUGGGCACAGACUAGAGUUUUAGAAACGAACCUCCGGCUCGCUAUGCAGUCGAUACCUCGAAAGUGAAAAUUCUCAAACCCUUGUUAUGUACCUAUGUUUCUCAUCUGCGUGCCUUUGUUUGCUGAAGUCCAUGCUUUUUAAUAAAACGUUAUUCAAAAACAACCACCGACUGUUUUCUCAUUGCUGUUCCUCUAAGAGGGUAACUCGCCAAUUGAAAAUCAACAAGGAAACAGUCGGUCGUUGUAUUUUAUUAACGUUUUAUUCAAAUGUAUGGAUUUCAGCAAACAAAAAAUGGCGGGCUAAUGUAAGGGUUUAAGAAUUCACAUUUUUGAAGCAUCGACUGCAUAGCGACUCGAUGAGAUAAGAGAUUCAUAAAAACAACAACCCUAGUCUGGAUGUGAGGUACUUGGGGAAUCUAAUUAGGAAAUCACAGAUAUUUUUUUAUUAUUGUAAUGGCUUAUUAAUGAUGACUAUUACUCUGUAGACUAAAGUUUGAUGUCUGUUUUUUUCUGUCCUACAGACUUUACCCAUAACUGACCUUAGAGCAGUGUGUAAGCUCAUUCUCAUCCUACCCCGGACGUUGCAAACAAAUAUAGAAAGGUUCAGGAGAAACUCUUCCUCACUCCAAAACAGUCACCCAGGAAUUGAAGAGGAAGUGACAUCAGAGCAGAUGGAAUCAAAUCAGAGCCUGGCGGGGGUGGACUCCCAGGGCAACAUGGUGUUCAGAGUGGUUAAACCUGUCAUGGGCAUCUUCCAAGUCUCCUCAGAACAGACCAACUCUGUCGGACAGGGGGGGUCGCAGCAGAUGAUGGUUGGGGGGCUGACGGGGUUACAAGGGUUAUCCAACCUCCCCUCCAUGGUGCUGGGGGAUGGACAGGGUCAGGGCCAGCAGCAAAUGGGGGACGUGAACCAGAUGCAAGCCCAGAUUCAGAUCCCAGCAGAGGACAUGUCCCAAACCCAGGUUGCCGCUCCGAACCACAACCACGUACCCCAUGUUCCGUUUGCAGAGGUGUCGUCUCUCUUGGACCCCAACAUGAAGAGUUCCAAGGCCCGCAAGUACCUGAUACCCUAUGACGAGAUCAAGCGUCGUCUGGAGGCUCCAGAGAAGAUGUCUCUGCGUUCACUAGCAGCCUACACCAGGGUCAGCCGUGGCCCGGCCAGCAAGAAAACCCUGCAGGAGUCUCUAAAUAUACUGGGUCUUACUCCUGGUACUACUACUUCUGUGUCUUCUUCCUUUUCCAAGCUCACAGAGGGUGACACCAAAGCCCUGUGUAACGACAUGAAGGACUUUGCCCAUGACUACAUAGACUUUGGCAACAUGGCCAAGCAGCUUAUUCCAGAGACCAACACUGUCCAACACUGGUCCAAGGUCAUAGAAACCAGGAGCCACCUGGAGGCGAUGAGGAAGUGUUUUCGUGACCCGGUCAACAGUGCGUCGUUCGACAACGUGACUCAUGGGUUGGGCCUCGGGAUGCUCGACGCCGCCCUCGACAUGAUUACCAUGGUGAUCGACAAACAAAUUCGCAUCCUGUCUGGCGCUGCGGCAACCGAUCCCGUCGACACCGGCCCUCCAAUGAGACGCAUCCGCCGCCGCCACCGCAAGCCCCGAGACAACGGCAACGACAAAUUGCACGGGUCGCUGGGCGGGGUUAAAGGUCAAGAGAAAGGGCCAGGGAAGGGCAAAGGGAGGGGCAGAGGCAGGAAGAAGAUGCGGCUGCAGGAGUCUGGAGCUCCGGUUGGUGUUGCCAUGGAUACAACCCAGCAGCAUGAUCAAGAGCAUUGUCAGCCGGAGGAUGUGGAGAGCAGUGUUCUCACACUCGUCUCUGUUGGUUACGAGACCAUCUCCAGCGGCCUCAAUGCCACAGGACAGAUCUGAAGAUGUUUAACGGUUGAACAAACAAUGCUUAACAGGGGAAUCGGACUUUGCUUAAUAUUUUCCCAUGGGGAAGCUGGGAGCGGAACUGUCUUAGUAACUUUGUGGAACAUUGUGGAACGUUGUGAUGUUUAGACGCAACUCUGCUUUGGCCCACAGAACCCCAAACACUGAGAGGGAGGCAUUCAGUGACCUCACAGCAUUCUGGUUUAGAGUUUUGUUUUUGAAUGUUGCAGCUCUUGCCUACUGAUAAAUUCAAUCAAUUGAAUUUAGUUUUUUGUUGUCAGUUAGCACAGAGGUGAAGAACGCAGCUCUGUUCAAGUGGAAUUCAAGUCAAUCCAAAGAUAACCUGAUUAUAUUGAAAAACCUACAAUGUAGAAAUGAGUCUUAAUUCUGGUCUUUGGGUUAAGGCAGUCCAUUCAUUCCACCUACUCAUCUGGUAUUUGAUAGCCCCGUUUAUUUAUAUCAUGAGUGGACUAGUUAUAGCCCUCUCUCAAUCUCCAUGAUUGUAACAUAGGGAACACAUCAUGCCAGUACUUUGUCAAUGAUUGUAUGUUUAUAUUGAAACCUGGAUUGCUGAAAUAUUGUAUUAAAGCUUUCAUUUUAUUAAUUCACCUCCAUGAUGUUCUUUAUUUCUGACAGAAUCAAUGGCACAGCAUCUGAUCUGUUUCACUGAGGGAGUUUGACUAAGCUGAACCGGGGUGGCCUGUGACGUGACCGGGAAAAAGCGAUAAAUUGAAUAGUAAUCUGUGCCGCCCGGUCAACAAGGCAGCAUCAUUCAGAAACAUGGUGCAUCUUUUCAAAUUCAUUUUCUUUGAGAAGGCAGAUAAAGUACAUCAUGUGUUUUAUCACGAGAGCAAAAAUGUUUUUCACGUGAUACCUUGGAACCUUCAUAACUGCACGUGCUUGACAUACGGGCCAGCCGGUGUUAUGAUACUGGUGGAUUGUACGGUUGUGGCUACCAGUACUGCUCCAUCUUGGGGCGGCAGGGUAGCCUAGUGGUUAGAGGGUUGGACUAGUAACCGAAAGGUUGCAAGUUCGGAUCCCCGAGCUGACAAGGUACAAAUCUGUCAUUCUGCCCCUGAACAGGCAGUUAACCCACUGUUCCUAGGCUGUCAUGGGAAAUAAGAAUUUGUUCUUAACUGACUUGCCUAG
ensembl:lncRNA